AACCGACAUCAGGGAUUCGUUCUGGGAACCCUGGCCGACAGCCAGGUAGGAAUUCAUCCCCAGUUCUUUCAUUUGUUGCUCGCCAAUCACCCGGGUGACCACAUUUUUGCUGUAAGCAUCUGCCAGCUGGCGCGCCUGCGACGCCAGGUAAGCGGCGUUACAGAUAUUCGGCGGCAUGUUGCCGAGGUCUUUGGC
rnacentral:antisense_RNA from 1 species